rnacentral:rRNA from 1 species
UACGUAGGGUGCGAGCGUUGUCCGGAAUUAUUGGGCGUAAAGAGCUUGUAGGCGGUCUGUCGCGUCUGCUGUGAAAAUCCGGGGCUCAACCCCGGACUUGCAGUGGGUACGGGCAGACUAGAGUGUGGUAGGGGAGACUGGAAUUCCUGGUGUAGCGGUGAAAUGCGCAGGUAUCAGGAGGAACACCGAUGGCGAAGGCAGGUCUCUGGGCCACUACUGGCGCUGAGAAGCGAAAGCGUGGGGAGCGAACAGG